rnacentral:lncRNA from 1 species
UUUGCACAUGCGUAUCGUCGUGUCAUAUCUUUUCGUACGUCAUAUGUUUUCGUAUUUACCACAUUUCGACGGUUUCGACUGCAUACAUGUACAUUAAUAUAGUGGCGUGUUUUUCGGUUUCUAUAUUUGGAACAACAACAACACUUCAAUGAAGACAAUAUAUGUCAUAUUCAAAACCGCUUUAAACAACGUAAGAACCAAUUAGAUUAUACCUGCCUG